rnacentral:rRNA from 1 species
AGCCAUGCAUGUGUAAGUAUAAAUAUUUGACUUUGAAACUGCGAAUGGCUCAUUAUAUCAGUUAUAGUUUAUUUGAUGAACAAUACUACUUGGAUAACCGUAGUAAUUCUAGAGCUAAUACAUGAUAAAAUCCUCGACUUUGAAGAGGUGUAUUUAUUAGAAUGAAACCAAGAGACUUCGGUCUAUUUGUGAGUAAUAAUAACUAAUCGUAUCGCAUGCUUAGGUAGCGAUAUGUCUUUCAAGUUUCUGCCCUAUCAGCUUUGGAUGGUAGUGUAUUGGACUACCAUGGCAGUAACGGGUAACGAAGAAUUUGGGUUCGAUUUCGGAGAGGGAGCCUGAGAGAUGGCUACCACAUCCAAGGAAGGCAGCAGGCGCGUAAAUUACCCAAUCCUGACAUAGGGAGGUAGUGACAAUAAAUCACAAUGCGGAACUAUUAGUUUUGCAAUUGGAUUGAGAACAAUGUACAAAUGUUAUCGAUAAACAAUUGGAGGGCAAGUCUGGUGCCAGCAGCCGCGGUAAUUCCAGCUCCAAUAGCG